GACGAACGCUGGCGGCGUGCUUAACACAUGCAAGUCGAACGGAAAGGCCCUGCUUUUGUGGGGUGCUCGAGUGGCGAACGGGUGAGUAACACGUGAGUAACCUGCCCUUGACUGUGGGAUAACUUCAGGAAACUGGGGCUAAUACCGGAUAGGAGCUCCUGCUGCAUGGUGGGGGUUGGAAAGUUUCGGCGGUUGGGGAUGGACUCGCGGCUUAUCAGCCUGUUGGUGGGGUAGUGGCUUACCAAGGCUUUGACGGGUAGCCGGCCUGAGAGGGUGACCGGCCACAUUGGGACUGAGGUACGGCCGAGACUCCUACGGGAGGCAGCAGUGGUGAAUAUUGCACAAUGGGCGGAAGCCUGAUGCAGCAACGCCGCGUGCGGGAUGACGGCCUUCGGGUUGUAAACCGCUUUCGCCUGUGACGAAGCGUGAGUGACGGUAAUGGGUAAAGAAGCACCGGCUAACUACGUG
rnacentral:rRNA from 1 species